rnacentral:lncRNA from 1 species
GACAUUACUGUACAAAACUAAAAGGUAAAAGAUGACAUAGAAAGAAAACAGACUCAAAACAUCAAAAAAAAUCCCCUUAAGCAACUCCUGAAUGAUCGAUCCUGACUGGAUGGUCCCGGGGUGUCUGUCACUCUCAAACUCCGGUAAGUAGAUCCACACUUGUAUGAGAAAACUGAAACCAACACUAUGUGAGACAAUAAUACUCCCUACUGGACACAUGCAAGACAUGAUUGAGGCUAUUUUUGUAAAAUGGCUUAUGUGGCCAAAAGGUGGCUAGAAGUACAAACUUGACAAAAGUGAACUCUAAGACAUGGAAAAAUUACUUUGCAGAAAUGACCCAUUUUAUAGAAAUGGUCUAUGUGGACAAAAAUGGCUAAGUAUGCAAAUUCAACACAAUGGACCUUAAACAGAGAGAACAUCUUGUUGUGGACUUAGAACUCUAAAACAUGGGUCACUGAACCACUUUUGCGAAAAUGACCUCAUUUUGCAAGAACGACCGAUGUGGCCAGAAGCAGCUAGAUAUGCAAAUUCGACAAGGACAGACCUUUAAAGUAAAGAGACACCUAAUUAUGGAUUGAAGGAUCUCCAGACACAAAUAAACAAAACACUUUGCGAAAAUAGCCCUAUUUUGCAAAAUGACCGAUGUGGCCAAAAGUGGCUAGACAUGCAAGAUUUGGCAACGACCCUCGAAGCCAAGAAUUUAAGACUCACUAAGAAGACCGGACCCUAUGUGGGUUGCCUACGUAUCCCGCCCCGAGAGACGAGAAUCAGGCUCGUGUAGUUCGGGAAGAUUGGAUACUAGCGAGAAUUAAAAGAAACAACUAAUUUAGAGAAAAUAUACUUUUUGUCUUUCUUUUUUUUUUUAAAAAAAAAUAUGAUGAAACAUAUAAACUCUUUUUGAAUUUUCUUUUUCCUCUUUUUUUUAUUUUUAUUUUUUGAAAAAUGAUGGGAAAGUGCAAAAUCUUUUUGGAUUUUUUAUUUUUUAUUUUUUUUUCUUUUUCUUUUAAAAAAAAUAUGUGAAAAGAAAAACAUAACUGGGCCAUACUUGCUUUAUUUUUACAUGUCACCCUCUUUUUUCUCAUUUAUCCCCAAACCUCAUUGGCCGCCAAAUAACCCUUUUACCCUUAAAAUUGCAAAAUGUAGCACAUAGGAUGCAUCAAGAUGAUCUUUUAUUUUUGGGGUACACCUGUCCUAGGCGGACCCAACCCUGUGUUAAGUCCCCAAAGUCAAAUGCACAUGAUGCAAACAAGAGUUCCUACUAGGGAUCCGGCAUGGGGCUGAGUUAUUCUAAAUUUAAAACCUAGGUAUAUUGUUCUAGACUUGGUGUACCCGAGCGGACAACUCGAGCUGGGGGGGGGGGGGGGGGGCUACGUAGCGGGAACCAAAAGGCCAUCCGUCUUUAUAACUUGUCCGAUCCUCUUUCUAAAUUAGGGUAUGGCACUAACAGAAAAGAAGUCACGCCAGCGUGCACUUCCUCGAAGAUGAGAAGAGAAGGGUUUCGCAACAGCUUAAUACAGUUCAAAUAAUAUAAAAGCGGCAUUUAGCACAUUAGGCCCAAACAUGUAAUACAAAUCAGAUAAUAAAUGAAAGCCAAUCAUAUAAAUUAUUCUAAGCUUGAAUUCUGAACCCUGAACCAGAGAUUCUAGGUUCUUAUUCCCAGCAGAGUCGCCAGAGUUGUCACACCUCCUUUUUACCACCCGAAAAGGGGUAUAGGGGUGUUUUUUCCAAUUUAAGUGACAAUCGAAACAGGAUUAUUUAUAUUAAAAUCAGAGUCGCCACUUGGGAUAAUUUAUGGUGUUCCAAGUCACCGGUUUAAAAUCCCGAAUCGAGGAAAUUGACUUUUAUUUAUGAUCUGCGAACACAGAAAUUCAGGUAAGGAAUUUUGUUAACCCGGGAGAAGGUGUUAGGCAUUCCCGGGGUCCGUGGUUUUAGUACGGUCGCUUUGAUCAUACUUGACUUAAUCAAAUUAUCUAAUUACCUAUUUUAAAACCUAUGUGCAUUUGCCUCUUUUAGUUGAGAAAUUAUCUUGAAACGGUCCAGGCACACGUGUACCCAUUUGUUUGGUGCGUCAAAAUCAUGUCACGCAUACGUGUCCAUAAUUAAUAACGCUUUAUUAUUAUUAAGAAAGUUUGGCCCAAGUUGCACGAAAGCAUACCUCGAUUUAUUUUUUUAGAAUCAUAAUUAUGUCACGCGAACGUGUACACAAUCAUGAUGAUAGAUUAUGUUGCGCCUAAAGCAAGCUACGAAUAUUCAUUUUAGAAACCGUAAGCAUACCACGCGAACGUGUACAUAAUUAAGAUAAUAAAUUCAAAACGCGCCUAAAGGUUCGCCUACCCGGUUGUGAGAUGGUCUAAGACAUGUAUAUAUCAUACCCACAGUAAAGUAGCAAUGUAAAAUAGGAUAUAAUUUUAAACCCUUGCCCAGGCAGUAUCCAUACUUCGUCAAUUCGUUUUCAUCUCAACUCCAAUUCUUUAGAAUUAAUAAGUCCAAAUCCAAGACGUGUCGCUAGCUAGUAAUAAAAACAAUGACACAAAAGCAAUAAAGCCUUUAAAGUCCAAUUUCCCUUUCAGGUUCAAACCCAAAUCAAUUAUUGGCAAAUCACUCUUUUUUUUUAAAAAGAAAUCUCUUUCCUUUAAGAACUAAUACUUGUUUUAAACAUGGACACCAUCAGAUGAAUAUAACAAUUCUAUCUCAAUUUUGCAUCAAACAGGUUAGUGAAUUAGCUCAAACAAAAGAAAGCAAUUUCAAUUAAGAGUAGAAAUUCCUCCUCAAAAUAUCACAAACAACAAGAAUUCACAUAAAUCUUCACAUUGAACCAUAUAAUAUAAGAAUAACAUGAAAUGAAACAGAGGGCAAAGAACAGGAACCUUCAAACCUCGACGAACUCAGAACGACAAGCCACGGCCCCAAAAUAAUGUUCUAUUUUUAUUGACUCCAAAUCGCACUCGAAACUUGCCGGAAAACUUGAACUAAACCAAAACGACGAAGAUGAACUCCAGUUGAUUUUGAAGUUAUUUUCGGCUAUUUUUUAGCUAGAUUUUGGACUGAAAUAGUAGUAUUUUGAAGGUUGUUUGGCUGGAAUUCAGAGAUGAUUUAAGCUCAAUUUUGCUGGGCUGUUGAUUGGUAUUGAAGUUGUUUCUUCAGUUGUGAUUUGGGUGCUUUUUUGUUUCCGUUCUCCCCUCUGUUCCUCACUGUCCGCUGUGUGUGUUUCUCUAUCGUAGGUGUGUGUUUGUUUGUGAUUGAAACUCAAAAGAAAGGGGUCGUUUGGGUUCUACGAUUGGUUGUGUUCAUGUAGGUUUGAGCAAUGAUUAGUGUUAAAGAAGAUCGAGAUCUGGCUGGGGGGGUGGGGGGUUCCUUUUGGUGUUCUACCGUUGCUCUCUUCUUCAAAGAGAUGAGCUUUCUUUUUAUUGUUUUUUUCUCCGUUAGCUUUUUAGGUCUCUCGCUUUUUAGGUUGGGAAGAUGCUCCCUCUAUGAAAAUGGCUGAUGACAUUUUUUUGGGGUCAGGGAUUCUAGGUUAGUUUCUUUUUGUCUAUGCGGCUG